rnacentral:sRNA from 1 species
UUUAAAAAAUUAUUAUCUUAUUAAUUUAUCGAUUUGUGUCACUUUUUACACUGGUCCCAAUUCGGGACCAGAAGAAUUUAUUAAUUUAUAAAAGUUAUUAAU